GAUGAACGCUGGCGGCGUGCCUAAUACAUGCAAGUCGAGCGAACGGACGAGAAGCUUGCUGCUCUGACGUUAGCGGCGGACGGGUGAGUAACACGUGGAUAACCUACCUAUAAGACUGGGAUAACUUCGGGAAACCGGCGCUAAUACCGGAUAAUAUCUUGAACCGCAUGGUUCAAUAGUGAAAGACGGUCUUGCUGUCACUAAUAGAUGGAUCUGCGCUGCAUUAGCUAGUUGGUAAGGUAACGGCUUACCAAGGCUAGGUAGCAUAGCCGACCUGAUAGGGUGGGCGGCCACACUGGAACUGUGACACGGUCCAGAGUGCCUCAGGUAGCAGCAAGAGGGCAACGUCCGGAAGGGGCGGAAACCUGACCGAACUACGCCGCGGCAGUAUGGAACGUCUUCGGGUCGUGAAACACUGUUAUUGGGUUAGAAAAUAUUUUUGAGUGACAGGACGCAUCAUUGCCGGUCCUGAUUAAAAAACCACCGCUAAAUUCCUGG
rnacentral:rRNA from 1 species